rnacentral:rRNA from 1 species
GUAGGGUCCAAGCGUUAAUCGGGAAUUACUGGGCGUAAAGCGUGCGCAGGCGGUUGUGCAAGACCGAUGUGAAAUACCCCCGGGGCGUUAACCUGGGAAUUGCAUUGGUGACUGCACGGCUAGAGUGUGUCAGACGGGGGGGUAGAAUUCCACGUGUAGCAGUGAAAUGCGUAGAGAUGUGGAGGAAUACCGAUGGCGAAGGCAGACCCCCCUGGGAUAACACUGACGCUCAUGCACGAAAGCGUGGGGAGCAAACAGGAUUAGAUACCCUGGUAGUCCACGCCCUAAACGAUGUCAACUAGUUGUUGGGGAUUCAUUUCCUUAGUAACGUAGCUAACGCGUGAAGUUGACCGCCUGGGGAGUACGGUCGCAAGAUUA